CUAAACAUUUCACUGUCUUUUUUCUCUCUCGUCAUUUCAAGAAAAAAGGGAUUUCUGUGCUAAACUAACCUUUAGAGGUAAAUCAGCAGCAUGACUUAUUUAGUCAUUGCUGUCAGUCACCUUCAGACAAAU
rnacentral:snoRNA from 1 species